GCUAACUUGAUUCCCCUAGUAACUGCGAGUGAAGCGUGAGAGCUCAUAUUUAAAAUCUGGCGUGCCUCUGGUCGUCCGAGUUGUAGUCUGGAGAAGCGUUUUCCGUGCUGGACCGUGUACAAGUCCCUUGGAACAGGGCGUCGUAGAGGGUGAGAAUCCCGUCUUUGACACGGACUGCCAGUGCUCUGUGAUGCGCUCUCAAAGAGUCGAGUUGUUUGGGAAUGCAGCUCAAAAUGGGUGGUAAAUUCCAUCUAAAGCUAAAUAUAGGCGAGAGACCGAUAGCGAACAAGUACCGUGAGGGAAAGAUGAAAAGCACUUUGGAAAGAGAGUUAACAGUACGUGAAAUUGCUGAAGGGAAACGCUUGAAGUCAGUCGCGUUCGCAGGACUCAGCUUUGGUGCAAUUCUGGUGGAUGGCCAGCAUCGAUUUGACCGUGAGAAAGUUGGGAAUGUGGAACUUCGUGGGGAUAACCUGUGGCACCUUCGGGUGUGUAUAGCCCUCUGUCGCAUACACCGGUAGGAUCGAGGAUCGCAGCGCGCCUUGUGCCCGGGGCUUUGCCACGUACGCGCUUAGAUGCUGGCGUAAUGGCUUUAAAGCGACCCGUCUUGAAACACGGACCAAGGAGUCUAACAUGCCUGCGAGUGUUUGGGUGGAAAACCCGAGCGCGCAAUGAAAGUGAUAGUUGAGACCUCUGUCAUGGAGGGCAUCGACGCCCGGACUUGAUCUACGGAGACGGUUCCGCGGUAGAGCAUGUAUGUUGGGACCCGAAAGAUGGUGAACUAUGCCUGAAUAGGGUGAAGCCAGAGGAAACUCUGGUGGAGGCUCGUAGCGAUUCUGACGUGCAAAUCGAUCGUCAGAUUUGGGUAUAGGGGCGAAAGACUAAUC
rnacentral:rRNA from 1 species